GACGAACGCUGGCGGCGUGCCUAAUACAUGCAAGUAGAACGCACAGCUUAUACCGUAGCUUGCUACACCAUAGACUGUGAGUUGCGAACGGGUGAGUAACGCGUAGGUAACCUGCCUGGUAGCGGGGGAUAACUAUUGGAAACGAUAGCUAAUACCGCAUAAUAUUAAUUAUUGCAUGAUAAUUAAUUGAAAGGUGCAAUUGCACCACUACCAGAUGGACCUGCGUUGUAUUAGCUAGUAGGUGAGGUAACGGCUCACCUAGGCGACGAUACAUAGCCGACCUGAGAGGGUGAUCGGCCACACUGGGACUGAGACACGGCCCAGACUCCUACGGGAGGCAGCAGUAGGGAAUCUUCGGCAAUGGACGAAAGUCUGACCGAGCAACGCCGCGUGAGUGAAGAAGGUUUUCGGAUCGUAAAGCUCUGUUGUAAGAGAAGAACGGGUGUGAGAGUGGAAAGUUCACACUGUGACGGUAUCUUACCAGAAAGGGACGGCUAACUACGUG
rnacentral:rRNA from 1 species